rnacentral:rRNA from 1 species
UACGUAGGGUGCGAGCGUUGUCCGGAAUUAUUGGGCGUAAAGAGCUCGUAGGCGGUUUGUCGCGUCGACUGUGAAAACCCGCGGCUCAACUGUGGGCUUGCAGUCGAUACGGGCAGGCUGGAGUUCGGUAGGGGAGACUGGAAUUCCUGGUGUAGCGGUGAAAUGCGCAGAUAUCAGGAGGAACACCGGUGGCGAAGGCGGGUCUCUGGGCCGAUACUGACGCUGAGGAGCGAAAGCGUGGGGAGCGAACAGG